CCCGAAUCCGACCAUAACCGCCCGAUGCCCAGCCCUAACGAGGAGUGGACGGAGUUCGAAUCCCGAAUUCCACAUUUUUUCGUAUUUAAAUAUGUGAGAGUCUAGCCACUAGGUUACUUAACCAAAAAAAAAAAAAAGUUGUCAUGUUCAAUUUCUUAUUUUUUAGCCGAUUAAACGCAAAAAAAAAAAAAAAAAAACUUUAACCGAAACUGUUAAAUAUUAAUUGCCCUGAGCUGGACAGAAGAGAAGGCGAUGAAAUUUUCGUUGAUGGUGGAUUUGAGAGGUUUGUGAUUAUUGGGAGGAGAGUGAUAAUCGUUAUCAAUCAAUGUAUGCAAAACAUCCUUACGGUUGGUUCUCUUGGCAAAAAGGGAAUGGUGAAAAUUUAUCAGCAGCUAACAAAGCUUGGUCAAGGUGGUUUUGGUUCAGUUUAUAAGCACACAGCGACAUGACUAACUUAUAUACAUUUGAAGACACCAUUUCUCUUUUGCCGCGUCACUAUUAUGUCUUGUCGUUGAAUGGAC